rnacentral:ribozyme from 1 species
UGCUUAGCAACUCCUAUCCCUACCUCCUCGUGGUACUGCCGGGGUACCAGUAACCUUAGGGAAGAUCGGGUAACAAACCCCGGUGGGAACUCUGGUCGUAUGCUGACAGGGAAGA